rnacentral:lncRNA from 1 species
CCCCUUUUACACACUUCAGAUAAUCGAUUAUGGGUCGAAAAUUUUACAGAUAAUCGGUUACUCGCUUAACUUAAUCGAUUAUCUACACCAUAAUCGAUUAUUUUGCCUGUGCUAUUUAAGCCAUAAUCGAUUAACCAACAAUCAAACACAUAAACUCACCUCAGAUGAACCCAGAUAUGAACCCAGAUGAAGGCAGAGAUGAACCCAGAGAUGAACACAACACUUUCAGAUGAACAACCUAUUCGUUACUGAAGCCCCUACCACACACUAUGACUUACGAAUCUCUCCAACUACACACUCUAUGCUUCGCUCUCUUUGCUUAUGCUUCGCUCUCUUUGCUUAUCUGUGAAUGGAGGAAGCAACUACAUCGUUUUAUAAAGAAACCAGGUUCCACACCUACCUCUCACCCACUUCAUUGAUGACCUUUCAAACUUUCACAUGGUCAAACGAUUCCUGAGCCAAGUCAGGAAUCUCAUGCUUUCAUGUGGCAUGCAUAGAGGGCCACUGUUCUUCUUGAUUCCAGCACAAAAGUAAGGGCAACAUUGAAACUUCGUGUGGAUGACUUGGCACUCGCACUGCACAGUGCAACUUUCUCUUCAUCUUUCAGAAGAAGCACAAUUCACUCACCUUUCUCUUUCCUUGCACCCUCACCCGCAACAAUGCAUGGAUCCAAACAGGGUGGUGUUGUGACUUCCGUCGUCGACAACAGUACCACCCCUAGAUCCAAACGGGGCCUUAGGCGUGCUCUUGUCGUCUCCACCUUUGUAUAUAAGUCAGAGCCUUCUCAUUUCUUACUUCUUCUUGACUUUGUUGGUACUUGCUCAAGCAUUUCGUUCGUCUUUCUCAUUUACCUCCAUUUGCUUUCGUUCAUUCUAGGUAUAUAUUUUUAAUGGCUUCUUUAUUUUCUUCACAUUUUGGUUCCUCCAACGAGAAUAAUCCUCUAGUAAGCAGAGAGGUUGCUCCCAUUAGAGGCAACUUUUUGACGAUUUGUACAUACUCAUUUUCGAUUGGAG